UACGUAGGUGGCAAGCGUUGUCCGGAAUUAUUGGGCGUAAAGCGCGCGUAGGCGGGAUAGUAAGUCUGUUGUGAAAAUGCGGGGCUCAACCCCGUAAGGUCAAUGGAAACUACUAUUCUUGAGUGCAGGAGAGGAAAGUGGAAUUCCCAGUGUAGCGGUGAAAUGCGUAGAUAUUGGGAGGAACACCAGUGGCGAAGGCGACUUUCUGGACUGUGUCUGACGCUGAGGUGCGAAAGCCAGGGGAGCGAAC
rnacentral:rRNA from 1 species